CAGGCAGUGUCAGCACAACUCAAGGAGGUUCUCAUCUGGAGCUUGGCACCCCUCCAUAGGUGUAGGGUUACUUCAGCCCCAUUUCCUUCUGCAUGGCUCUGAGUGCUUCCCCCAAGGACAGUAAGGAACAGCAGGCUGCCAGGGUGUCCACAUUUCAGUGCCUGCCGUGAUGCAACAAAGGGCUGGGCUCCUUCCCAUGGCCAAAGUCACCAUCUGAUACACCUGCACCUCACGGCUAUCCCGAGCAAAACUUAACCCAAACCCCUUAGAGUACCCCUCUCUUUCCUAAUGUGUGCCUGCCACUGAUCCCUGCUGUCAAAGGCACAGAUUAAAUGUCAACAAGCUCUCCACAAUUGAUAUUAAUACUGGAAAUGGUCAGCUGGGGACAUGCCUUCUAGGCCACUGGAGGACAGAGACCUGAGUCACCUCGAGCACUGCUCAGUGCCAUACAUUCACAGAUCCCUGGCAUUUUGAACAGCCCUUCUAUAGCAGGGAACAACACUGGAGAUAGUUGAAAACCCAAAUAAGAUGUUGGCAAGUGCUCUGUGCAAUUAGAAAGAAGGAGGAUUGUAUGGAGCACAAACAAGUCUCAGGACUGAAUGCAACUGGAUGCUCUCUCAAACUUCUAGGGCUGAAAUGCUUGUGAUGAUUCCAGAACUGCAGGAUUAUAACAGUGGAUAUUCACUGUUUAAACAUUUAAAAGCUAUACAUUAUCACUCUUAGUGUACCUCCAGUGGGUCUCCCACAUGCAUUACAGUGCCUGGUGCUGCUAUUGACAAACUCUGAAUGUAUUUCCAUGAGCAAAUUGUGUAACACAAUAGGAGCAGCUCUAGAGAGCCCAGCACAACUCCUUAUACUCCUUUUAGGGCCCUCUCUCUGGAGCAGCUUUGGCUCCAUGGCAAUUAUCCAUUAGCAGUGGGGAUGCGCUAGAUGUGUGUUAGGAUCAGAGAUGCAAGAUAUAUACCCUUAUCUGUGAUGCCUAACUCUGACACCCAAGAAAGCACUGAAUUUCAUAUAGCACCAUGGAGACAACUGUUAGAGUUAAGUAGAGAAACUGAAAAUUUCAAGGGGAGAAAGAACCUAACCACGAGUGCCCUAUAGAGACAGAUGUGCACAUGGGGCUCAAUCUUCUGUGUCUAGCUGCAUCUAAAAGGUGUCUAGCUACAUGCUAAAGUACGUAUGCUGCCCACCUCUGCUGUUUGGCAUGACACCAUGAUGCUGUAUCCAAAGCAGUUUCCUGGCUCCAUUUAGUCUGCCCUUUAGUAUGUGGCACAUCCUAAUUUUUCAUUUCUUAAUCAAUCUCCAUUUUAAGUCUAAGCAAUUGGACAUCAAUGAAGACAUAAGAAUAAUAUUUCAGAUGCUCUCUGGAAAAUCUGCACUGGUUUGAGCUCUGAAAUAAGCUGUAAACUGUAGCUGUAGGUCUUUGAGGUGGGGUUCUCACUUAGGAAGAGGAUUGCUGGAGGGGAGACAGUUCGCUAUCUGCAGCAGGGAUUCCUACCAUCAGCAAAUUCCUCAUUCUCCUGGAUCAAUCACCUCAUGGUCAGUCAAAAGGUAGGAAGGGGUAUUCUGGCCCCAUGGAAUUAGGAACUGCUGUUUGCACUCCUGCAGCCUAACUGCUGUUCCCUGUGGGAAUAGAGAUUAAAUUUGUCCCAAUGGCUUAGCAGAACUCCUGUAUCUGCCCUGUUCACAUGCUUUCAGGAGGACAUUUUGCGUCACUCGUAGCCGCUGUUCUCCUCUUUUGUUAGGCUAUUCUCUCAGGAUUUAUAUGCUGUGUAGAAGUUUUGUUUCACAUCACAAUGUGUUUAUGUGCAGGUCAGGAAAUUAAUCAGCCGACUAUCUGAACAAUUAAAACAAUUUUGGCUAGCCUGGCUUUGCUUUGAUACUGGGUUUGGGUUUGUUGUGACUCAUAAAGCUUUUGGGGCCAUC